UUACAGUUGUUUUACGAGUUAAACUUGGCCAAAUAUUUUUAUUUCGAAAUAAAUGUCCCCUCCGGAUAAUAAACAGAUCGCUUAUCCAAAUCAAACAAGUUUGGUAUCAAAUGAAAGAGGACUUAAAUAGCUUUAAAACUGAAAUGUCUAAACGAGGAAAGCCACAUAUUGAAAAAUAUUUCAAUAAAAAAAGGUUAAUUAAUAACCAUAGAACAACCCUUGGGUCAGGUAUGUAUUUAUAUGAAUUUCUUUAGUAUUA